GUUUAGUACCAAAUUGUUGCUUUUAUAUUUUAACUUCUUUAAAUAUUUCUUUAUGAGUCCUUGUGCAUGUUUUGUGUGUUUUACACCAAUCAAGUUUGAUUGAGCUAUUGAUAUAUUUUUUUCUUUUUUCUGCAUUGUCUACAGACAUGACCGAGUUUGAACUUCGUCAAUUGCUGGUAUUCAUUGAUAUCUACAUGUCAUUCAUGUUGACCGACACUCUUUACCUUAUAGUAGAUUCUUUUAAAUACAAUGUAUAUUGCAAGAAUAUAAAAAUCCUAAAUUUAGCUGGUGAAUGUACAUGAAACUUUCCGUAACAUUAGAAUUAAAAGUACAUGGUACCACCUUCUAUUGAAC
rnacentral:lncRNA from 1 species